rnacentral:piRNA from 1 species
UAGAAGGUGUUCCUAUGUAUCUUCUUUUGU